AUGAUUUUCAUUGACAAGGAUGGGUUUGAUAUACACGUAGUUGUUCCAACUACAUAUAUGGCGACAUACGAUGCCAAAUUUGCAUUGGACCACACAUACACUGUAUCAAACUUCAAAGUCCAGCCAAAUAAUUACAUUAUUGGUGUGGUCGAGAGUAUUGGAUAUACCCAGCCACAUAGUGGAAGGAAAAAAUUACAUGCUAAUUUCGUCCUUCGGGAUGCAAGCAACAACACAAUGAAUUGCACCCUUUGGGAGGCUUAUGCUGCACAUUUCUUUAAGUUUAACUAG